AUUGAACGCUGGCGGCAGGCCUAACACAUGCAAGUCGAGCGGAUGCAGGGAGCUUGCUCCUGGAUUCAGCGGCGGACUGGUGAGUAAUGCCUAGGAAUCUGCCUGGUUGUGGGGUAUAACGUCCGGAAACGGGCGCUAAUACCGCAUACGUCCUGAGGAAGAACGUGUGGGAUCUUCGGACCUCACGCUAUCAGAUGAUCCUAGGUCGGAUUAGCUAGUUGGUGGGGUAAAGGCCUACCAAGGCGACGAUCCGUAACUGGUCUGAGAGGAUGAUCAGUCACACUGGAACUGAGACACGGUCCAGACUCCUACGGGAGGCAGCAGUGGGGAAUAUUGGACAAUGGGCGAAAGCCUGAUCCAGCCAUGCCGCGUGUGUGAAGAAGGUCUUCGGAUUGUAAAGCACUUUAAGUUGGGAGGAAGGGCAGUAAGUUAAUACCUUGCUGUUUUGACGGUACCAACAGAAUAAGCACCGGCUAACUUCGUG
rnacentral:rRNA from 1 species